rnacentral:rRNA from 1 species
UACAGAGGUCCCGAGCGUGUUCGGAUUUACUGGGCGUAAAGGGCGCGUAGGCGGGGAGGUAAGUCGGGUGUGAAAUCCCUCGGCCCAACCGAGGAACUGCGCCCGAGACUGCUUCUCUUGAGUCCCGGAGAGGAAGAUGGAAUUCCCGGUGUAGCGGUGAAAUGUGUAGAGAUCGGGAGGAACACCGGUGGCGAAGGCGGUCUUCUGGACGGUGACUGACGCUGAGGAGCGAAAGCGUGGGGAGCAAACAGG